rnacentral:snoRNA from 1 species
CUCCUCUCAGGUUUGCACCUGGAGAGUUUCCAGUACUCUACCAGCCUUGACAAUGGGAGGGAGAGUCAAGCAGAAGCAUAUCCAUUCCAUUCUUAGCCUGGGCAGUGGCUAGCGAGUGGAAGGCGAUCUGCUACAAGU